rnacentral:rRNA from 1 species
UACGAAGGGGGCUAGCGUUGCUCGGAAUUACUGGGCGUAAAGCGCACGUAGGCGGAUUGUUAAGUCGGGGGUGAAAUCCUGGAGCUCAACUCCAGAACUGCCUUCGAUACUGGCGAUCUCGAGUUCGGGAGAGGUGAGUGGAACUGCGAGCGUAGAGGUGAAAUUCGUAGAUAUUCGCAAGAACACCAGUGGCGAAGGCGGCUCACUGGCCCGAUACUGACGCUGAGGUGCGAAAGCGUGGGGAGCGAACAGG